GGGGUUAUGGCUUAGUGGUAGAGUGCUUGCCUAGUAUGCAUGAGGCAUUGGGUUCAAUCCUCAGAACCACA
rnacentral:tRNA from 1 species